AAAUUGCAGUUACAUGUAUUGUAUUAAUGUACUUUGUAUUUAUUAACUAACAUUUAUGUACCUUAUUAGACGUUAUAUAGUGAAACAUUUCUUUUGUAUGGCAGAUCAUGCUGCAGUGAGAAACCAAGAAAUUCCUAUUGUGUGCAUACUUAGGUGCCAUGGAGUGGUGGAAAAGGGAUAUGGAAAAUACAGGGAUAAGGAUGUGUGAAGCUGCAGGAAAGCAAGCUGGAAGCUAUAUACCCAGAAUUCCAGGAGAAAAGGGGCUGUAUGUCUGUGAAAGGUAUUGUUAUGAGAUGUAGGGAGUUGCUCAACAGAUUGAAUUGUAAUGUAAGAGAAUAAGUAUUAAAUUCAAAAUAAUUUCACAGCAGUGUUCCUUAGGUGAUCUACUAAAUUCAAUCCACUAAAGUAAUGGCAGAUGGGCCAGGCUAGUUUUCUCUCUAUGGCUAUUUUGAAAAUUCAGAAAAUACCACAGGCUCGAUUUCAAAAUAAUUUCUACAUUCCUUCAAAUCAUUAUGUUUUAUUUGAAAUGAUAGGGCAAGUUUUCCCUUUUCUGA
rnacentral:lncRNA from 1 species